rnacentral:rRNA from 1 species
CCUACGGGAGGCAGCAGUGAGGAAUAUUGGUCAAUGGCCGGAAGGCUGAACCAGCCAUGCCGCGUGAAGGUCAGUGCCCUAUGGGCGUUAAACUUCUUUUGUGCGGGAGCAAUAAUGGUCACGUGUGGCCAGACGAGAGUACCGUACGAAUAAGCAUCGGCUAACUCCGUGCCAGCAGCCGCGGUAAUACGGGGGAUGCAAGCGUUAUCCGGAUUUAUUGGGUUUAAAGGGUGCGUAGGCUGUGAGGUAAGUCAGCGGUGAAAUGCCCCCGCUCAACGGGGUGAAGUGCCAUUGAUACUGCCUGGCUGGAAUGCGGAUGCCGUGGGAGGAAUGUGUGGUGUAGCGGUGAAAUGCAUAGAGAUCACACAGAACACCGAUUGCGAAGGCAUCUCACGAAUCCGCGAUUGACGCUGAUGCACGAAAGCGUGGGUAUCAAACAGGAUUAGAUACCCGGGUAGUC